UUCUCUGCCAAAGAAAGAAAACAAAAAAGAAGUUCGCCUAUAUAUAGCCCGUAUACUUUUAUUUUUCCGUGAUCCGGAUCGCGGGCCUCGCGGGGUUUUCUGAAAGUGUGCACAGAGAACACACGUGUUUCCGUUUCAACGAAAACAACACAGCUUCACCGUGACUGUCACAGCGAAAGCUUGUAUUUUACAUCUUUAAAACGACCUGAUGUCAGAAGAAGAAGAUGCCCUGGAUCUCCUGUUGCAGGAUGACCCAAACGAUCAUGCAUUUAGUAUGAAUACGUACAUGUAAGUUGAUGUAGUCACAUAGGCCGACUAAAAAGAAAAAAAUGCGGUUUUGUCAUGUUAUGAAAAAUUCACGAUUAGUUAACCGCGAUUUGAUGCCAUAAUUUGUCGUUUCAUGAAAGAAAAUAUUUAUAUUUUAUGAUAUUUAAACCAAGUGAAUAACACCCUGUCCGGGUCCGGCAUUAAUCAGUUUGAUUACCCCCCCCCCCUUUUCCCAGAAUUAUCUCCUUACCUGACGCGCGAGUGUAAGAAGGGGGUGGAUUUAGUGUAUAAUGGGAUGGGGUGGUUUUAAUCAGACCGGGCAUUCAUGACCGCUGGUGAGAAGGCUAUUUUCCAAGUUUUUUCCAUGUUUAUAAAAAAAAUUAUCUUUCUAUGAAAAGAAAACACAAUCUGUUAGGAAAACACACUUUGCAUUAUUGUAAUAAUAGAAUUUAUUAUCAUAAUUUGAAUUAUUUUCUUUAUUCUGUAACAAAAAUAAAAACAAAAUGUGUGUUUGGGCCAAAAUGGGGGGGGGGGGGGGGGGGUUAACAUCAAUCAAAGUCUGAUUAUGACAGGCUAAUGAAAAAUCAUAUUGAUUUCUCUUUUAUCCAAAUGCAUGUAUUUUAUAUACACUUAGAAGCUUAUGACCAUAAAUUACAUGUGAUCCAUACAUGCUGGUACUUGUAUGCUAUGAGCUAAUGGGCACGUGUCCCCAUAUUGCCGGCCUCCUCCGUGGCCGAGUGGUUAAAGCAUCGCGCUCAAAAUCACACGGCCUCUCACCUCUCUAGGCGCGGGUUCGAAUCCCGUUCGCGCCGGUAAGUGAGAAAGUUUUCCCAGUUUACUUACGAAAGGUCGGUGGUCUCUCCCCAGGUAUCUAGGUUCUCUCUUCCACCAAUAAAAAAACUGGGUGCCACCAGAUAACUGAAUUCAAUUCAACUUUUAUAUCUGGGGUCAUUCACUUUCCCUCAGAGUUUCAGUAUUUUUGCUGGACCCUAUAGGUUUUAACCUGAAUUUCUUCAGUAUUUGCCCUCAUGUAUAUGCUAGGCAUAAUGCAGACACCUACAUGAUACAUAUAUUUUUUUCAUUACCCACUCUGCUACUCUCGCAAUGUAUAAUAAAAUAUUCGAUUCAUUUCUAACACAUGUAUGCAAUCCCUUACCUUAUCUUUAAAUAAAUUUGAGUAAAUAAAUUUAAGUGCGAAACUGUUCCAUGCUACCGUGAAACUUAUAUUUUGCCUUUUAAACAUAAACCAACAAUUUUUAAUUGUAAUUUCUUUUCUUCUUUAAAAAGGGUAUUGACAUCCCAAUAUUUAGUGGGAAGUUCCCAGGUAUCAUCCACUAGCGACAGUCUACUGGCAAAUCCAGACAUGCAUUGGAAGGAUGCUGAUGUGGAGGACACAGGGACACCUGAUCCAAGAACUGUGGCAUUUCAUUCGGGGUGACAACCUGGCUUUCAGUUGAUAUGGGACCCUAUUACGGUAUUCGGAGAACUGCAGAUUUUAUGAAGCUGUCUUUGACAGAAGAUUUGGUUUUCUCCAUUUGUGUUGCCACCAACCAUUAUGCUGAGAUGGUCAUAUCUACGGGGGAGGGUUGCCAUAUACUUCCCAAGGAAGUUUGCAGCCUCUCACUGAAGAGGAACUGUACAGAUUUUUGUGCAUUAUCUUAUAUAUGCCUGCUGUGAAGUUCCAGUCGAUAGACAGAUAUUGGUCAACGCAUGCCCCUGUCGGAACAACUCAUUAUCAAGAAUUAUGUCUAGAAAUAGGUUUCAAGAGGUUGAAUAUAAGAACAUUUUUGUUAAAUAUGAUGCAAGUACAUUUAAAUCUAAUGAUUGAAAGUAAGUACUUGAACAUUCGUAUAUGUUGAACUUGGAGAGGAAAAAUGGUUAGUACUUUUUUAUAACAUUUGAUAAGAUGUUGUUGCUGAGCAACCAAAUAUAAUUGAAUAAAAAAAUAAAUUAUUUUAGAUUAAUAGUAAUUGAAAGAUCUUUGUUUUAAUGUUGCAAUACUUAUUCUAUUUAAUGGAACAUAAUGGCAAAACGUCAUAUUAUUAGAAAAUGAUGGACAAGUAUAUAAAGUACGAAGUUUCCAUUUGAUGUCCUUUGACCUUAAUUCUCUUCAUCAUAUUUUUUGUUAAAAACCUUUUAAAAUGAUUUUAAAAGAUCUAUUUAAAGAUUAUAUUUUUAAAAUAAUGUGACAUUUACUAAUCAUCAUGGAAUGUAAUUACGUUUAAAUUGUGUCGAAUGGAUGCAGAAAGGCAAAUUAUGGUCAAAAUUGUACUAUGAGUGUUGUUACUUAGCAACCAAAAUUAUUUGUUUGUCAAUAAAAUUGAUUAGUUUGA